CCUACGGGUGGCAGCAGUGAGGAAUAUUGGUCAAUGGACGAGAGUCUGAACCAGCCAAGUAGCGUGAAGGAUGACUGCCCUAUGGGUUGUAAACUUCUUUUAUAUGGGAAUAAAAUGUUCCACGUGUGGGAUUUUGUAUGUACCAUAUGAAUAAGGAUCGGCUAACUCCGUGCCAGCAGCCGCGGGAAUACGGAGGAUCCGAGAGUUAUCCGGAUUUUUUGGGUUUAAAGGGAGCGUAGGUGGAUUGUUAAGUCAGUUGUGAAAGUUUGCGGCUCAACCGUAAAAUUGCAGUUGAUACUGGCAGUCUAGAGUACAGUAGAGGUAUGCGGAAUUCGUGGUGUAGCGGUGAAAUGCUGAGAUAUCACGCAGAACUCCGAUUGCGAAGGCAGCUCACUGGACUGCAACUGACACUGAGGCUCGAAAGUGUGGGUAUCAAACAGGAUUAGAUACCCCAGUAGUC
rnacentral:rRNA from 1 species